AGCUGCGACACCGAGGUGAAGGCGCUGCCGCGCGCGGGGCUCCCGCCCUCCAGCCGUCCGGGCAGAGAGCCUCCGGGACGCGGAGCCAGCAACUUCUCGGGGGCCCCAGGCGACCCCGCCGCGGGGGUGGACGAGCCGUUGCUGCCGCCGCCGGCGACACCGCCUCCCGCGUCGGGGUCCUCGGCCGUGCCCCCUGCGCCGUCUGUCGCCGCCGCCUCCUCCUGCAAGCCCACCGCGCGGCCCGCCUUCUUCACCUCCACGAAGGCGCUGCGCUUCGCCUCGCCAGUCUCCGGGCUGGGCGGCGCGAAGAGCCGGCCGUUCUCCUCCAGGCCGAAGUAGCUGCCGGCGGCGCGGUACUGCUGCGGCGUGCACACCAACUCCUCCUUGGAGGUCGCCAGCGGCCUCUCGGAGAAGCGCGCACGGCCGCCCGCCAGCCCCGCGCCGCCGCCCUCCGCCGCCGCCUCCUCUGGGAACCGCCUCUUGCCUUUGCAGCCGCCGGUGGCGACGCCGUCGGGACUCAGCUCCGCCUCCUGGUGGCCGCUGCCGCCACUGCCGACGCCCGGGGCCGCUACGCAACUGCUGCUUCCCCGGGAGUUUUCCAGUUCCCGAGCCAAGUUGUGGAAGUCCGUGGACGGCUUGGCGCUGCCGGCACCCGCGGAGCCCGGCGGGUUGCUCGCCUCCGGGGAUGACGCGGGGUAGUGGUGUAUGGGGCCGGCUUUGCAGAACUUGGGGCCCGGGAUCAACGGCGCCUCCUGUUGCUGCUGCUGUUGCUGCUGCUGUUGCUCUUUACCACCGCCGCCGCCGCCGUGGUCCUUAGUGCCCAAGCCGCCCCCUUGCUCGUCUUGGGGAUUCGCAUCAGUGCUGUGAAGUCUCUUGGGGCAGCGGAAUCGCAGAUGUGCCACAUAGGGGAACUCAAACUGGAAACGUUGGCUGCAUUCCAGUUCCAUUCGGGACAACACCUCAGAAGCUUCGUCCACCCUAUGAUGUGCAAGGAAAUUACCCUCAGACACCUCCAUCACACUUGCUGAGACUCACCCGGAAGAUGUAAGGUACUGUUCUCUUGUCCGUGGACUUGAGGGCUACGAAGGCUAUGCUGUCAUACAGGGAAGUAUGGCUCAGUACACAGGGACCGAAUAUGGCGUUCUCUGGGAUGUCGCAGGUUGUAUAUACACUGGUAAAAAUGUCUGUCAGACACUGUUGGACAGCCUUGGCAUCUCCAUCCCAGAUGCCUCUCUGGAUGCCUGAAUCCUCCAUCACUGGAGACAGAUACCCAGGACGAGAAGAGAGUUGUUAUUGCCUUUUCUGCUACGAACCUCGGCAGAGCGUUUCCGCUACCAGACAUAUUUUCUUUGCACUUGCCGGCUUUUUUACAUAGCUCCUACUUUAAAAAUAAAGCCGAUCAAUCUGUCAUGCUUUAAAGAUGCCAA